UGAGGUGUAGCUCACUUGGUAGAGUACUUGUCUCCAAAGCACAAGGCCAUGGGUUCAAUCCCCAGCACCAAAA
rnacentral:tRNA from 1 species